UUUGCCAAAAUUGAUGUUUACUUUAUUUCAGUUCAAUUCAAUUUAAUUCUUUUUUGUUUGUAUAGCACCAAAUCAUAACAUUGUUAAGUUAUCUCGGGACACUUUUCAAGUACAGCAGUUCUAGAACGUACUCCUCAUAAAAUUAUUUACAAAGACCCAACAGUUCCCACCAUGAGUAAGCACUUGGGGACAGACCCUGGUUCUAGAUGUGUGGCCGUCUCCCUGGACCGUUUGGGGUUAUAGAGAGAAAGACAGAGACAGAAAUGCAUAGCAAUAACAACCACUAUAAUAGUAGAAAUAGGACUAAUAAGAGUAAUGGUGAUAAUAAUAAUAUGACUAACAAUAAUGGACAAACCAAACUUUUCUCUGAUCAUUUUUUCUCCCACAUUCAAGUCCAUUAAUUCAACAGUUCAUUUAUUUGUUCCUCAUGCAAAAUAACCUUACACUGGAGACAGAGCCGGUGUCUGAUGUGGUCUUCACUACCAGCGUGCCCGAGGCAAUCGAGCAGAAUGACACUGUGGUUCUGACCUGCUCCGCCAAAGGCUCCUUCCUCAACUUCACCUGGCUCAACGGCACCACGCCCAUUGUGGCCGAUGGCAAUCGGUUCUCACUGGAAGAGAUCAGAUUCAUAAUUAAUAAUAUAAUAAUGUCAAAUAUAUAAUUAUCUUUAAGUCUUAUCUUUUAUUUUUGAAGGUUAUUUUGGUAAUAAAUGUGUAUUGAUCAUACUGUAAAUACUACAAAACAAAACCUCCAUGGAACAAAUAACGAUUUUAUAUCCUUUUUUUGCCAGCAUGGACGUAAAAUAUGUCUCAAAUUACAUUUGUAUUUAUUCCAUUAAUGAAAGUAUAACUUGUAUUUUCUGUUUUUGGUCUGAAUUACAGAAGGAGCUGUCCAGUGCGCUGACCAUCAGAGAUGUUUACAGGACAGACCUGGUUGGUCCCAUCUACUGCAGAGUGGCAAACAACCUGGAGACAGAGAACAGCGCCCCCUUCAACCUCACCGUCUACAUAAAAAAGAUGGACACUGCAUCUCCACUUCCUGCAGUUUUACAAAAAUUAAGCUGGGUUAACAAUUGGCCUCUGGUUGUGUGUGGUGCUAUGAUUGCUGUGCUGCUGGCUGGUUAUCUGCUGCUCCCCUACAAAUGGAUAAAAAACAGAAUCUUAAGAACUUCACAUGGCAGAAAUAUGGAGUUAUCUGUCACCCACAAGAACAGGGCUCCAGUCUCCACAAAUGAAGACUCCCUCUACCAGAGCCUAAAUCCAGCCAGCAGGGACCAGGACCAGAUCUACUCCUCACUCACAAACCCACAUGAUCCUGUCUGAAGUUCAGUUCAAGUUUAAAUGUAUGCUGGUUACAUAACUGCCUGAAAAUCACAAAUUGUCAAUUUUAACAUUUCUGUUUCUGAUCAUAAACUGAUGUGUCCUGUUAAUGUUGUAUAACUGCAUUUGUUAUUCAGUAGUCCAUUGUUAGUCAAUAUCAAUGACAUCUUCUCUCGGGUUGAAUAAAGUGUAGUUAAAUUUGUGUAUUAGAGGUUUCAGUGUAUUUUAUGUCAAUAAUAAAACAAUCAAACUCAAAACGGCAUUUCCUCAAAAUUGUAUGAGCAACCUCUUCAGCAAAUAAAAGCUAGUAGAUUUCUUGGAAA